AAGAACUUGGCUUUGGCUUGAGGAUCUGAUUAAAGCCACACACAGCCUUACCCUCUACUGGGCAUGGUUCUUUCUUAGCAGCCUAUUUCUGAGUCUGCAAAAAUGCCUUUAGAGAUCCCUAUGCUGGGGCAGCCUUACAACCAUAAGCAAAGGAUUUCCAAAUGGUCCUGGAGUUCUGUAUUGGUAACCUUUCUUUGGCUUCAAUGAAAUACCAUGGCCAGGGCAAAUUAUAGAAGGGUUUAUGUGAGCUUUUGGUUCCAGAUGGAUAAAAGUCCCUCAUGGUGGAGAGAAAUGCCAGCCAGCAGCAUGGAAGCAAGAACAGGAAGCAUGGAGUUCACAUCCUGACCCAUGAGCACCAAGAAGAGUCAACAGGAAGUGGACAGAGGCUUUCACUAUCAAGUGCUGCCCCAGUGACAUACUUCCUCCAGGAAAGCCACACCAUAUAAAACUCCCCAAACAGUACCACAGACUGGAGACAAAGCAUUUGAACAUUUGAGCUAUAAAUGGGAGCCUAACUUCAUGCAACACAGCAACUGACAUCCAGAUUUCUCAAGCUACAGAGAGAAUAUAAAAUCAUGCAAGGCCAGCAAGAAAAUGGAGUCCUCUAGUCAGCUGUCUUUCAUUUGUUGCACAACUUCCAAAAUGAAGGAAAGACAGAAAAACAGCCCCUUCAAGUAUCUAAGAAUAAGAAAAAAGCAGCAAUUGGUUUGCUGUCUCUAUUUGCUCUUCAUGACUCUAGGUCCUUCUACCCACUGUCCAGGGUUCUACGUCCUGCAGGAGAUGCCCACACAACCAAGGACAGCUACUUAUGUGGAAAGUCAUCCUUCAUCAAAAGACAUCUUUUGAAAAGAUGCUUAGCUAUGAUGCUGGAAUUUAUAUUUCAUUGUGCAUUGACUUCUCUUAUUAGCCGUAAGUAUGGUUGCAUCAAGUUUGGUUGACUAGAACAUUCUACUGUCUUAAAUCAAGUACUUUUAGCAGCCAAUGACUAUGUCUAGAACUAAAAGAAAAAGUACCAACAUUUAUUUGUGAAGCAAACUAUCCCUGUGCUCUAUGCUUUCCCCUUCCCCAUCUUUACGCUCUGACCUCUGUUCCUCCGGCUCCCCUUUUAUCUCCAGAUGCUAGGCCACUUCCGUGUACCAUAGGAGGUCCAUUUCCCUUCUCUCCAGGCCCCACUAGCUGUCCAAUCUCUCUCUGCCAUUCACCCACUGUUCUCUCAUUACUUUUUUCAAAGUCCUGCACAGUUUGAAUUCCUAAAGAACUACAGCCUGCAGGUGAGAGGUGUGAUUACAGAAUUUUGUGAGGAUGGGGCUAUGCCUUCCUGUCUCAUUUCCAUCUGGAGACAUCUCUGUUCACAAAUCAGGAGCACCCAACCUGCCUCUCUUAUUGAGUAUCUUCACCAAAGUAAUUCUACAGAGAAAUCCUUUCCUUAGCCUGUGGACUUAUGGAAGUGCUCGUGUUCUUGGAGCAUACUUAAUUUUUAGCUGCCUAGCAGCAGAAUCUAGAGCAUUCAUAAUAAGACUUUGCUUUGUCAGCUCUGACUUCCAAGAACCUACAUGGAGAUGUUAAAAACAGGGCAUGCCUUGUUUCAAUUCUGUUCGUGUGAGAUUUUUGUUUCCCUUUUGAUAACUUCUGUAAUCAUUUCUUUGUGCUGAAUAUUUUAGAAGAAACAGUUUUUUUUCUGGUUUUGUUGGAGAAACAUGUGGGAUAUUUUUCUUUAUUUUUUGAGAAUUUCAUUUGUAUCUGAUACUGUCACUGGAGAGGGCUUCCAAGUGAGUAAAAGCAACAGGCAGCUAUGGAAGAAGUUCCAUCAGCAAUACUAGCAUGAUACACAUAAUGUAACAAUUCAUAUCAUAUAUAUUAGGAUGCAUAUGCAAAUUUCAUGCUGCACUUCCCAGAUAUG
rnacentral:lncRNA from 1 species